AGAGAGAGAGUAGAACAGGGAGGAACAGAGAGAGUAGAACAGGAUGAGACAGGGAGGAACAGAGAGAGAGUAGAACAGGAUGAGACAGGGAGGAACAGAGAGAGAGUAGAACAGGAUGAGACAGGGAGGAACAGAGAGAGAGUAGAACAGGAUGAGACAGGGAGGAACAGAGAGAGAGUAGAACAGGAUGAGACAGGGAGGAACAGAGAGAGUAGAACAGGAUGAGACAGGGAGGAACAGAGAGAGUAGAACAGGAUGAGACAGGGAGGAACAGAGAGAGAGUAGAACAGGAUGAGACAGGGAGGAACAGAGAGAGGUAGAACAGGAUGAGACAGGGAGGAACAGAGAGAGUAGAACAGGAUGAGACAGGGAGGAACAGAGAGAGAGUAGAACAGGAUGAGACAGGGAGGAACAGAGAGAGUAGAACAGGAUGAGACAGGGAGGAACAGAGAGAGUAGAACAGGAUGAGACAGGGAGGAACAGAGAGAG
rnacentral:lncRNA from 1 species